AAACUGGAGAGUUUGAUUCUGGCUCAGAUUGAACGCUGGCGGCGUGCUUAACACAUGCAAGUCGAACGCGAAAGGGAGCUUCGGCUCCCGAGUAGAGUGGCGUACGGGUGAGUAACGCGUGGAUA
rnacentral:rRNA from 1 species